UCUCAAAAGAUGUCAGGGAGAAUUCCAUCCUCCUCUGUUUUAUCUGAAAAACUUCAGGAUCGAAUGUUUGACAGAAUUCUUCGUAAAAACAUCUGAUCAUAAAGUUUUCUCUAUGAGAAUGUUUUUUGAUUAAUUCCUUUUCAUGAGAGAGUGAGAGAUGUGGAGAUCAAAGAUCUGCAGUCAGAGUAUCAGCUAGAGAAGAUCGAUUACUUGGCCACCAUUUGUUGGCAAAAAUGUAACUUCAUGCUCUUCCAGCAGCUCCUGGAGCAGGUGCAGCCACUGAUUCACCGGGACUGUUAAUUUCUGCAACCUGGAGAAGAUUAGGCGCAAAUCCUGCUGGGAUGAGGAUAAUGGCUUCUGGAAGAUUCUAGAGCCCAUCAUCUUAAAAACCAGUCUCCCAGUAGUUUCAACAGGGCCACAGAACAAACCAGGCUACAAAACCUCUGCAGGAGACAACGGCGAACCAUGCAUGCGGGAGCAAGACCCCUAGAAGCUGAUGCUCAGUUGGUCGGACUGUGAAAAUACUGCCAGUAGCUACUUCGGUUCAAGCUGGCCACCCAGACCCUCUGCACAGAGACCCCCGAGGAGCCUCAUGCAUCCAGAGUCGCUGCCAGGCCUGCACAGCUUCUCUGCCCUCCCGCCCCGCUGCAGCUCCGGCCUUUCCACCUCGAAUCCCCCCACAUCCCCUUCUUGGAGGUCACGCAGCAGGAAAAGCAGAAGCGCCUUUGGCGGUGGGCCCCGCAGCUGCCUGCCGCUGCCCUGCCUUUGAGCUUCCCAGACAGCCCGGCCAGGCCUCCCCGCACCCGUGACCAGAGGCUCAAGGAGGUCCAGGCCGGGGCCGCCCUCCAGGCCUCGGUAGUGUUGCCCCUGCUCGCUGCCGCUGCGCCCCGGCGGCGGCUUGUGCGCAGAAACCUCCGCGCUGCCUCGGGGCCUUUGCAGCAUCCGCACAGAGCCAAGCAGCUUCCACGUGGAUCGAACUCGAACUCGGCAUCUUGACUGAACAUUGUGUCCCCGGCAUCCCUGCGCGGGAAGUCUUGGGGCUGGGUCAUGUUUAUUCGUGGGACGCAUGCCACAGCAUGGCUUGAUAAAUGCUGUGUAGGUCUGUGGCUGGGAUCUGAACUGGCGAGGCCUGGGCCACUGAAGCGGAGUGCAUGAACUUAACUGCUACGCCGCCACCAGGUGGGCCGCUUGAUAUCUACUUUAUUUCAUAUUAAAAUAGCUAAUCCAGCCUUCUUGUAUUUAGGGUUUCUAUUAUAUAUCAUUUCUAUCUAUUUGCCCUCAACCUAGCUGAGCUUUAUAUGUAAAUUUCAUCUGAUAUGUAGCAUAGUUGGGUCCUGUUUUUAUUAAAUAUUCUGAUAAUCUGUGCCUUUUAAUUAGUUGUUUCAUCCAUAAACAUUCCAUCUAAUUGUUGAUAUCAUAUGAUUUAGGUUCACCAUUUUGUUAGGUAAUUUCUUUGUGUCCCCUCUGUUUUAUUUCCUCCCUUUCCCUGUUUUCUAGCUCUCGUUCUUACUGUUUGAAUGAAUUUUAGAAUUCCAUUCUAAGUUAUCUAUUGGCAUUUUCUUCAGCACUCUGUGAUUAAAUUUUUACAGUCUAUAGAGUUGUUAUUGAACUAUCUCACAUGAUAUGUAGAAAACCUGAAACCACAUGGAUCCAUUUACCACAAUCUCAUCAUGUUACUCAUGUUACUUAUUAUCUCAUGCUGUGGAUGUUGUAAACUCAAAUGAUAGCCUUAUAAUUUGUGCUUUAAAUUGUUGUGUAUUUUAGGUAAACUAAGAGAGAAAUUUAUAUAUCUAUAGAUUUAUUGUUUGUGUUCUUCAUUCCUCUCUGGUAGUCCAUCUGUUUCCCUGGUACCUGUUUUUUUUUUCCCCCCAACUGGAAGAUAUUCCUGUAGCAUUUCCUCUGGGUGCAGUGCUAAAGACAAAGUUUCUUUCUUUUCUUUUUUGUUUUUGCUGAGGAAGAUUACCCCUGAGCUAACAUCUGUGCCAGUCUUCCUCAUAUUUUGUAUGUGUGUUGCUGCUACAGCAUUGCUGAUGAGUGGUGUAGGUCCACACCCGGGAUCCAAACUUGCUAACCCAGGCCACCCAAAUGGAGUGCAGCAAACUUAACAACUAGGCUGUGGGGCCGGUCCUUGAGGACAAAGUUUCUUAUUCUCAUAUCUAAAGAUAUUUUUAUUUACAAUUCUUGAUGAAUACUUUCACUUCAAAUAGGAUUCUGUUUACCUUUUUUUAAUCCUCUUAAUGAUCUUCUUCCACCCUCUUCUCGCCUCCAUAGCUUUUGAUAUGAAGUCUGUGGUAACAUGAAUUACUGAUUCUUUGUGUAGAAUAUGCAUGUUCUCUAGCUAAUUUUAAGAUUUUUCUCUGUAUCUUUGAUUUUUUUGGCAACUUGACUUUUCUGUGGUGGGAUUUAGUUUUAUUUAUGUUAUUCCUAUUUGGGGUUUACUGAGCCUCUUUGUGUAAAAUUAUAUCUUUCACACAUUUUGGAAGUUUUUGACCAUUUCUUCAACUAUUUCUUUUUUUUUCUAUUCCCUUUGGCCAAUCCUUCUUGGGCUCAAAUUACAUGUAGUUUGUA
rnacentral:lncRNA from 1 species